AACGAACGCUGGCGGCAUGCCUAACACAUGCAAGUCGAACGAGACCUUCGGGUUUAGUGGCGAACGGGUGCGUAACGCGUGGGAACCUGCCCUUAGGUUCGGAAUAACUCCCCGAAAGGGGUGCUAAUACCGGAUAAUGUCUUCGGACCAAAGAUUUAUCGCCUUUGGAUGGGCCCGCGUUGUAUUAGCUAGUUGGUAGGGUAAAAGCCUACCAAGGCGACGAUCCAUAGCUGGUCUGAGAGGAUGAUCAGCCACACUGAGACUGAGACACGGCCCAGACUCCUACGGGAGGCAGCAGUGGGGAAUAUUGGACAAUGGGCGAAAGGCUGAACCAGCAAUGCCGCGUGAGUGAUGAAGGCCUUAGGGUUGUAAAGCUCUUUUACCCGGGAUGAUAAUGACAGUACCGGGAGAAUAAGCUCCGGCUAACUCCGUG
rnacentral:rRNA from 1 species